rnacentral:rRNA from 1 species
CCUACGGGGGGCUGCAGUGAGGAAUAUUGGUCAAUGGGCGCGAGCCUGAACCAGCCAAGUAGCGUGAAGGAUGACUGCCCUACGGGUGGUAAACUUCGUUUAUAAAGGAAUAAAGUGAGGCAAGUGUGCCUUUUUGGAUGUACUUUAUGAAUAAGGAGCGGCUAACUCCGUGCCAGCAGCCGCGGUAAUACGGAGGAUCCGAGCGUUAUCCGGAUUUAUUGGGGUUCAAGGGAGCGUAGAUGGGUUGUUAAGUCAGUUGUGAAAGUUUUCGGCGCCACCGGAAAAUUGCAAUUGAUACUGGCAGCCUUGAGUACAGUUGAGGUCGGCUGACUUCGUGGUGUCGCGG